UUCAAGCGUCAACUGUUGCAUCGGAGAGCGCCUUUAGUCAAGCAAGACUACAAAUAGGUGAUCACAGAGCGUCGAUGCGAGAGAGCUUGGAAAAAUCACUGCUUUUUCGAGAUUGGAUCCGCGUAGAAAGAAGGAACUUUGGGCUAGCUGAAUCACAACCAGAAAUAGAUGAGUGCUAUGAAGAAAAUGCUAGCAGAACUUGCUCAGGAAACAUCUUCACCUGGAAGUGGUGAUGAACAAGCUUCAUUUCCACCACCGCCAACACAACCACCUCCAA
rnacentral:lncRNA from 1 species